ensembl:ncRNA lncRNA:CR44544 long non-coding RNA:CR44544
AUGUGCGGGUGGAGUGAUCAUCGAGUGCGAAUGAGAGUGUACCAAUAUCAUGUGACUCUGAGCUUGGGCCUUUGACUGGGUGUUCUGUUCCCCGCCUCCCCCUCACCGCUUGUCAAAUCCGAUAAUCAUCAUUGCAAAUAAAUAUUUAUGCGUAUGAGUAAUCCGACAUCAGCAACAUAUCUGUCGCAUUCCCCGGCUACAUUUAUGCGAUUCUCCUGAUUUAUGAGAACAAAACAUUGCUGCCAACCCAUAAAACUUCCCAGCAGUGUUUUGAAUUCAUAUAAUUACCUAAGUGGAGAGGUGGUGCCUCCAAAGUGGAGAACAAUCACCAAAUGAUACAAUUUCUCACUCUCAACGAAAAGUUGUCGUGUCGUCAUUAUCAGUUCCAAAAGGUGAACAGCGGGAAGAAAAUCUGAUGACGCUCCAACGAUUUUCACAUUAGAUUAAAUAUUUUUCAUUUCAACGUUUCAUUUUUGAGGUCAAACUUCGCUGGGCGAGGGUGUAGU